rnacentral:rRNA from 1 species
GAUAAACGCUGGCGGCGCACAUAAGACAUGCAAGUUGAACGGACUUAAUCGAAAUAUUUAUCUUUUGAAGCGGUUAGUGGCGGACUGGUGAGUAACGCGUAAGGAACCUGCCUAUUAGAGGGGAAUAACAGUGAGAAAUCAUUGCUAAUACCGCAUAUGCCAUAGAUAUCACAUGAUAACAGUGGGAAAGGAGCAAUCCGCUAAUAGAUGGCCUUGCGUCUGAUUAGAUAGUUGGUGGGGUAACGGCCUACCAAGUCGACGAUCAGUAGCCGGACUGAGAGGUUGAACGGCCACGUUGGGACUGAGAGACGGCCCAGACUCCUACGGGAGGAAGCAGUCGGGAAUAAUGAGCAAUGGAGGAAACUCUGACGAAGUGACGGCGCGUAGAGGAAGAAGGUUUUCGGAUUGUAAACUAUUGUCGUUAGGGAAGAGAAAGGACAGUACCUAAGGAGGAAGCUCCGGCUAACUACGUG